rnacentral:rRNA from 1 species
AUUGAACGCUGGCGGCAGGCCUAACACAUGCAAGUCGAGCGGUAGCACAGGGAGCUUGCUCCUGGGUGACGAGCGGCGGACGGGUGAGUAAUGUCUGAGAAACUGCCUGAUGGAGGGGGAUAACUACUGGAAACGGUAGCUAAUACCGCAUAACGUCGCAAGACCAAAGAGGGGGACCUUCGGGCCUCUUGCCAUCAGAUAUGCCCAGAUGGGAUUAGCUAGUAGGUGGGGUAACGGCUCACCUAGGCGACGAUCCCUAGCUGGUCUGAGAGGAUGACCAGCCACACUGGAACUGAGACACGGUCCAGACUCCUACGGGAGGCAGCAGUGGGGAAUAUUGCACAAUGGGCGCAAGCCUGAUGCAGCCAUGCCGCGUGUAUGAAGAAGGCCUUCGGGUUGUAAAGUACUUUCAGCGGGGAGGAAGGUGUUGAGGUUAAUAACCUCAGCAAUUGACGUUACCCGCAGAAGAAGCACCGGCUAACUCCGUGCCAGCAGCCGCAGUAAGAC